rnacentral:rRNA from 1 species
AGUGAACGCUGGCGGUAGGCCUAACACAUGCAAGUCGAACGGCAGCACAGUAAGAGCUUUCUCUUACGGGUGGCGAGUGGCGGACGGGUGAGGAAUACAUCGGAAGCUACUUUUUCUUGGAGGACAACGUAGGGAAACUUACGCUAAUAGCGCAUACGACCUACGGGGGGAAUCAGGAGAUCUUGCGACCUUGGGCUAUCCAAUGAGACGAUGUCGGAUUAGCUAGUUGGCGGGGUAAAGGCCCACCAAGGCGACGAUCCGUAGCUGGUCUGAGAGGAUGAUCAGCCACACUGGAACUGAGACACGGUCCAGACUCCUACGGGAGGCAGCAGUGGGGAAUAUUGGACAAUGGGCGCAAGCCUGAUCCAGCCAUACCGCGUGGGUGAAGAAGGCCUUCGGGUUGUAAAGCCCUUUUGUUGGGAAAGAAAAGCAGCAGGUUAAUAUACCGCUGUUCUGACGGUACCCAAAGAAUAAGCACCAGCUAACUUCGUG